CAGUCAGUAUGGUCUGCAGCUGGUCUGUGGUUUUAGUGUUGAGUAUAAUGUCAUUUGUAAACCAGAUGUGUGUUAGCUGCACACCAUUGAUGUUCAUACCAUCUGUCCAGUCAAUGUCCCUGAUGACCAUUUCUUGAUAUGCAGUAAAAAUCUUUGGGAAGAUAGUAUCUCCUUGCUUGUUACCCUUCCCAAUUGGAACUCUUACUGAUGGUGAUAGCAAUACUAUAUGUGAGCAGUUUGAUGUAUUGCGCCACAACACUGCAUUCAUUUCACUGAUGUCAAAGGCCUUUUCUUAAUCAACAAAGGUGACACACAAAGGAAGCUUGUAUUCAUUAUUUUGUUCUGUGAGCUGUGUUAAAGUGAAGAUGUGAUGUAUUGUACUGUAGUUCCUACAGAAACCUAUUAACUCUCUCAGCUGUUUAUUGUUUAGGUGUUUUGAUAGUCUGAUGACUAUGAUCUUUGUAAACAGCUUAUAGAGGUGGAGUGAUAGUUUUUAAAAUCUUUAUCAUCCUUCUAAUGAAGCAAGAUGCUAUUUGACUCUUUCCACAGUGAGGGUGUUUUUACCCUUCUUCAAAUUGUAGAAUGAAGAUUUACCACAGCUCUUCACCUCAGUGUCUUAACAUCUCUGUUGUGAUGCCAUAUUUCCCAGGAGCUUUGUCUGUUUUUGUCAGUUUGAGUGCAUUUUCAGUUUCACUGAUCAAAAUAGGUGGAAUUUCUUCCAACAUUUGUGGCAAUGGAGGAUUGAGCUUCCCUGAUGAUUUAAAAAGGCUGGUGUAGAAAUUUUUGCAUACUUCUUCCAUCUUCCCUUUGUGAGCCCAUCCUUGUUCUUAAGUAUUGCCACCUCUGAUCUAUAGAGUGCCUGCCCUCUCCUGCAUUUUUUUUAAACAAAGGAAAUAAGUGUUUCAAAAACACCAUGCAAAGGAUUAAAAUUCUGACCAUAUUAUCAAUUGUCUUUUUCAAUUUGUUUAUUAUCUCCUGUAAUGUUCUUUUUGAUCUUACUAUCUCACUACUUGACCUUAUUACUUGUUCCUAUUUGUAGGCAGCAGACCUGACCAAACCAAUAGAUAAAAGGAUUUAUAAAGGAACAUUCCCUACUUGUCAUGACUUCAAUCAUCAGUCAGCAUCAUGUGAGAGUGUCUUGUUGUUAGUUGGCUUUACUGCUGGCCAAGUUCAACUUAUUGAUCCUAUUAAACAAGAAAUAAGCAAGCUUUAUAAUGAAGAGACAGCUAUCAUGCAGAAAAUGCCAGCUAUCAUGUAGAAAAUGCCAGCUUCCAAAUCCUGUUUUCUGAUUAGGUAAAAUUGAUUACUUUAAACCUCAGUAACAUUUUUCUGUAACUUUUCUGAAACAAAUAAAUAACAAGAUCGGAUUUAA